AACGAACGCUGGCGGCAUGCCUAACACAUGCAAGUCGAACGAGACCUUCGGGUCUAGUGGCGCACGGGAGCGUAACGCGUGGGAACCUGCCUUUAGGUUCGGAAUAACUCAGAGAAAUUUGAGCUAAUACCGGAUGAUGUCUUCGGACCAAAGAUUUAUCGCCUUUAGAUGGGCCCGCGUUGGAUUAGCUAGUUGGUGGGGUAAAGGCCUACCAAGGCGACGAUCCAUAGCUGGUCUGAGAGGAUGAUCAGCCACACUGGGACUGAGACACGGCCCAGACUCCUACGGGAGGCAGCAGUGGGGAAUAUUGGACAAUGGGCGAAAGCCUGAUCCAGCAAUGCCGCGUGAGUGAUGAAGGCCUUAGGGUUGUAAAGCUCUUUUACCCGAGAUGAUAAUGACAGUAUCGGGAGAAUAAGCUCCGGCUAACUCCGUG
rnacentral:rRNA from 1 species